rnacentral:rRNA from 1 species
AGGGUUUGAUUAUGGCUCAGGAUGAACGCUAGCUACAGGCUUAACACAUGCAAGUCGCGGGGCAGCAUAGGGUUUCAGCAAUGAAAUUCGGAUGGCGACCGGCGCACGGGUGAGUAACACGUAUCCAACCUGCCCUUUACUCGGGGAUAGCCUUGCGAAAGUAAGAUUAAUACCCGAUGGCAUUGGAUUCCCGCAUGGGGCUUCAAUUAAAGGUGUGAACUGGUAAAGGAUGGGGAUGCGUUCCAUUAGGCAGUAGGCGGGGUAACGGCCCACCUAACCGACGAUGGAUAGGGGUUCUGAGAGGAAGGUCCCCCACAUUGGAACUGAGACACGGUCCAA